GCAUAUCAAUAUGCGGAGGAAAAGAAACCAACAGGGAUUGCCUCAGUAACGGCGAGUGAAGCGGCAACAGCUCAAAUUUGAAAUCUGGCCCUAGGCCCGAGUUGUAAUUUGCAGAGGAUGUUUCUGGCGAGGUGCCUUCCGAGUUCCCUGGAACGGGACGCCAUAGAGGGUGAGAGCCCCGUACGGUUGGUCGCUAAGCCUCUGUGAAACUCCUUCGACGAGUCGAGUAGUUUGGGAAUGCUGCUCUAAAUGGGAGGUAUACGUCUUCUAAAGCUAAAUACCGGCCAGAGACCGAUAGCGCACAAGUAGAGUGAUCGAAAGAUGAAAAGCACUUUGAAAAGAGGGUUAAAUAGUACGUGAAAUUGUUGAAAGGGAAGCGCUUAUGACCAGACUUGGACCGGUUGAUCAUCCAUCGUUCUCGGUGGUGCACUCUGCCGGUUCAGGCCAGCAUCAGUUCGUCCCGGGGGAUAAAGGCUUUGGGAAUGUGGCUCUUCGGAGUGUUAUAGCCCACUGCGUAAUACCCUGGGAUGGACUGAGGUUCGCGCUCCGCAAGGAUGCUGGCGUAAUGGUCAUCAGUGACCCGUCUUGAAACACGGACCAAGGAGUCGUCUUCGUAUGCGAGUGUUCGGGUGUCAAACCCCUACGCGUAAUGAAAGUGAACGUAGGAGAGAGCUUCGGCGCAUCUCCGACCGAUCCUGAUGUUCUCGGAUGGAUUUGAGUAAGAGCAUACGGGGCCGGACCCGAAAGAAGGUGAACUAUGCUUGUAUAGGGUGAAGCCAGAGGAAACUCUGGUGGAGGCUCGCAGCGGUUCUGACGUGCAAAUCGAUCGUCAAAUAUGAGCAUGGGGGCGAAAGACUAAUCGAACCUUCUAGUAGCUGGCUUCCGCCGAA
rnacentral:rRNA from 1 species